rnacentral:lncRNA from 1 species
GUCAACUUUCUGACCCAAGCACCAUUCUAGGCUUGGAUGCUAUAGCUAAGACCUUGAAGGGUCCCUGCCCUCAAGGUCUUUACGAGAAGAGGAUGACAAUUUUAUUAAGAAAAUAAAAAGUAAAAUUCUUUACAGAAGAUGACAGGAUUUUGUUAGCCAAAAAUGACUUCUAACUCACAGAAAAGAUGUUUUUAAUAUUCUUUCUCCUCAGAUUUGAAGCUGAAAGUAUGAUUCAGAGACAAGGACACGUACCCUUGAAAUGCUACUUGGUUCGUGCUGGACAUUUAAAGGUCAUGUCAAGUAAUAUAAUCAUGAACAAAAAUACCAACGCUGAAAAUUUAAGUGCGUUUGAAGAAGGAGACUUCAUAGGGGGCUGGAACAACCAUUAUCUCUGACAACUUAAACUCGCAUUCCCUUGUAUUCAUCGUAUCUGUAAGUAUACAAUAAAAGCAUUACCUUCUUCAGUUAAAGUCUGGUGGGGAGCUAUAAACCAAUAGUUAUAUCUCUCAGUUGACUUCCAUAUUUGUGAUCAACUCUAAAGCUAAGGGGCCAGUUGAACCUGACUGCAGAUGACGUAAAUAUUAACUCCCUUGUGAAAUUGUUAAGCUAAAUAAACUUCAUAUGUCAUUACAGAAGAUGACGCAUUUAAGAGCUCCAAGUUUCUUUCGUAUUCAGAGUCUUUUCAGGGUCUGUGUUGGAUAACUGCUCAGAUGAAUGCUAAGGAUAUACCAGUGUACACAUUCCUGUGUGAUGAAGAUCAGUUCUUCCACCCUGAAAGAGUUCCACACCAUUCCUCCACCAAGAGGAGCUCUUGAUGCAACUGGUGGAAGUUUAGCAAGUAAGAAUAUUGCUGAGUAAUAGUGUUGUACAAACAUUGGAGUUUAUUUCUGAGUUGCAGUUCACCAAUUCUGGGUCUAUAUGCUUAUUUAUUUUUAUGUUUAUAUUUAUUAAUUUAUUAUGUGAAUUAAAUAUAUAAUUUGUAUAUUUGUUUUUCUUCCAUGAAAUAAUUUUCAAUAUAUUAUACCAUAAAAAGAAGGCAAAUGUAAAAUGAACAUUAACUUUUUUAUUAAAUUCUUCUAUACCACCAUUUUAAGAAGCACUUAGGAGUCUACCUAAUAAACGGAUGAUAAAUGUGAAUAAGUUUAAAGUACAAUUUGCAAAAACACAAUAUCUGCUCUUAUUUAACCAGCCACAGUUUCUCCCAAGACUUCACUCUCAGCAGGAAGGAAGAAAACACUAGACGAAAAGAAACAGGUAAGAUAAAUGGUUUAAAUUUCACUUAAAGAAUUGAAAUAUAGUUGAU